UCGCUCCUCCUGCCUCGCCGCCACCUCCUCUCCCUCCGAACGCUCGCCGCGCCCACCUUCCUGCCCUACGCCGCCGCCAUCUCCGUCGGCGCCCUCCUCCUCUCCACCGGGGCCGAGGUAGCACGAGGCGCCCCUUCCCCUUCCAAAAGCUCGCGCUCUUCCUCUCUUCCCCGCCCCCUCGCGUCGCUGGCCGCCAGCCCGCCGACUCCUUCGCCUCCGGGAAGCACCGCCUUGUUUGCUCCUGUUUGGCGGCGGCCGUUAUCGAGCUCGAGCCCGGGCGCCGCGGCGCAUUAUUGAGCACGACUGCGGCCUGAAGCGGCGGGGGUAGAGGCGCAGGGCGAGGAGCACCCGCCAGAGGCGCUCGAUGUGGCUCCCUCGUCACUCCUCCUUCUACGCUGACUGCAGGGUUAGGAUUUGCUAUUGGAUUGGUGACUGCCGUGAGUUGAUAACAUAUCAGGUUACUAUGAUCUCCCGUCCCUAUUGAUCGAGGUUGCUUUGCUAGUUCUGCCUUUGCUCGGCCAUCCCAUUACAGGUUGCCACCAAUGGGAAUACAGCCAGUGGACUGGUUUUGCUUGUCAGCGACCAGAACAAGAACAAGUCAGAUCUAUCUAUACAUAUUCAACUUUGGGGAUGAUUGGAGGCUCUGUGUUCAUAGUUUAUAUGGGUCAUCUUUAUAUCUUGGCCAUGGUGUCUGUGAGAGCUUUUUAACCUACUCAAAAGAUAGCAAAGAGAAGCAAUUGU